rnacentral:rRNA from 1 species
UGGGGAAUUUUGGACAAUGGGGGAAACCCUGAUCCAGCCAUCCCGCGUGUGCGAUGAAGGCCUUCGGGUUGUAAAGCACUUUUGGCAGGAAAGAAACGUCGCGGGUUAAUACCCCGCGAAACUGACGGUACCUGCAGAAUAAGCACCGGCUAACUACGUGCCAGCAGCCGCGGUAAUACGUAGGGUGCAAGCGUUAAUCGGAAUUACUGGGCGUAAAGCGUGCGCAGGCGGUUCGGAAAGAAAGAUGUGAAAUCCCAGAGCUUAACUUUGGAACUGCAUUUUUAACUACCGGGCUAGAGUGUGUCAGAGGGAGGUGGAAUUCCGCGUGUAGCAGUGAAAUGCGUAGAUAUGCGGAGGAACACCGAUGGCGAAGGCAGCCUCCUGGGAUAACACUGACGCUCAUGCACGAAAGCGUGGGGAGCAAACAGGAUUAGAUACCCUGGUAGUCCACGCCCUAAACGAUGUCAACUAGCUGUUGGGGGCCUUCGGGCCUUGGUAGCGCAGCUAACGCGUGAAGUUGACCGCCUGGGGAGUACGGUCGCAAGAUUAAAAACUCAAAUGAAUUGACGGGGGUCAUAGCUGUUUCCU